rnacentral:rRNA from 1 species
AGAGUUUGAUCCUGGCUCAGGAUAAACGCUGGCGGCGCACAUAAGACAUGCAAUUCGAACGGAAGUCGUUAUAAAAGGAGAGAAGAUUUAUCGGAUUCAAUUUUAUAACAAUGGCUUUAGUGGCGGACUGGUGAGUAACGCGUAAGGAACCUACCUAUUAGAGGGGAACAACAAUGAGAAAUCAUUGCUAAUACCGCAUAUGCCAUAACUACCGCAUGGUAGAAGUGGGAAAGGAGUAAUUCGCUG